rnacentral:rRNA from 1 species
UACGGAGGGGGCUAGCGUUGUUCGGAAUUACUGGGCGUAAAGCGCACGUAGGCGGCUUUGUAAGUUAGAGGUGAAAGCCCGGGGCUCAACUCCGGAACUGCCUUUAAGACUGCAUCGCUUGAAUCCGGGAGAGGUGAGUGGAAUUCCGAGUGUAGAGGUGAAAUUCGUUAGAUAUUCGGAAGAACACCAGUGGCGAAGGCGGCUCACUGGACCGGUAUUGACGCUGAGGUGCGAAAGCGUGGGGAGCAAACAGG